CGUGCUUAACACAUGCAAGUCGAACGAUUAACCCGCCCUCGGGCGGUUAUAGAGUGGCGAACGGGUGAGUAACACGUGACCAACCUGCCCCUUGCUCCGGGACAACCCAGGGAAACCUCGGCUAAUACCGGAUACUCCGCGCAGCCCGCAUGGGAGGCGCGGGAAAGCCCAGACGGCAAGGGAUGGGGUCGCGGCCCAUUAGGUAGACGGCGGGGUAACGGCCCACCGUGCCCGCGAUGGGUAGCCGGGUUGAGAGACCGAUCGGCCACAUUGGGACUGAGAUACGGCCCAGACUCC
rnacentral:rRNA from 1 species